AGCUGGUAUUAGGAGAUUCUGAGGUCCCUUUCCAUUCUGUAUGUAUAAUAUUUUUAUAAAAAAUUGAAUAUUGUAUUCCAGAAUGGUGUGGGGUCUUUGAGCACGCUUCAACAUUUAAA
rnacentral:precursor_RNA from 15 species